UACGUAGGGGGCGAGCGUUGUCCGGAUUUAUUGGGCGUAAAGAGCUCGUAGGCGGCUUGGCAAGUCGGGUGUGAAACCUCCAGCUCAACCUGGAGACGCCACUCGAUACUGCCAUGGCUAGAGUCCGGUAGGGGACCACGGAAUUCCUGGGUGUAGCGGUGAAAUGCGCAGAUAUCAGGAGGAACACCGGUGGCGAAGGCGGUGGUCUGGGCCGGCACUGACGCUGAGGAGCGAAAGCGUGGGGAGCAAACAGG
rnacentral:rRNA from 1 species